GGCUGGUUAGCUCAGUUGGUCAGAGCGUGGUGCUAAUAACGCCAAGGUCACGGGUUCGACCCCCGUACGGGCCA